CACGAGAGCGCCCACCUCCACUGCGCAUGUCAAAAGUCUGCUCGCUGGAUCUUAUGUCACCCCCUCGGAUGUGUCUGCGUGAGGAGAAUGCGCGGUCUCCUGAAUCAUGAUGAUGAUGAUUUUACUUCACAUAUCAUCAGCCAUGUCUUUUACGGGGGACGGCACAUGAGAUAUGUCAUUCAGGAAGAGCACUUCCAAGUGGAAACAUCUGCAGUGCCAUGACUGCCAGAUCGCCCUCGAAGACAACUAUCAGUUUAGCCUGUGCAAGUACCAAAGGUAGACAUGGCCAUUUCUAAGCUGUCCAAAAGAACAGUAGUGCCUGCAGAUGAUGGCUAAAGUCUGCAGGAUCCUAAGGACACGACAGCCAACUGCGCAUUUAGGCGCACAUACUCGGCCGAUUUGGCUUCUGCUUCGGUUGCCAUUUCUUCCACAGAAGUUGCUAACUUCCAUAAAGAGUACAUGUCACCAAAUAAAACUUUUAAUAUAG